UACGAAGGGGGCUAGCGUUGUUCGGAAUCACUGGGCGUAAAGGGCGCGUAGGCGGCCUGAUAAGUCGGGUGUGAAAGCCUGUGGCUCAACCACAGAAUUGCCUUCGAUACUGUUAGGCUUGAGACCAGAAGAGGUAAGUGGAACUGCGAGUGUAGAGGUGAAAUUCGUAGAUAUUCGCAAGAACACCAGUGGCGAAGGCGGCUUACUGGUCCGGUUCUGACGCUGAGGCGCGAAAGCGUGGGGAGCAAACAGG
rnacentral:rRNA from 1 species